UGGCGGCCGUAGCGCGGUGGUCCCACCUGACCCCAUGCCGAACUCAGAAGUGAAACGCCGUAGCGCCGAUGGUAGUGUGGGGCCUCCCCAUGCGAGAGUAGGGAACUGCCA
rnacentral:rRNA from 3 species